CAGUAGCCACGGGAAUACGAAGGGUGCAAGCGUUAAUCGGAAUUACUGGGCGUAAAGCGUGCGUAGGCGGUUUGUUAAGUCUGUUGUGAAAUCCCCGGGCUCAACCUGGGAAUGGCAAUGGAUACUGGCAAGCUAGAGUGUGUCAGAGGAUGGUGGAAUUCCCGGUGUAGCGGUGAAAUGCGUAGAGAUCGGGAGGAACAUCAGUGGCGAAGGCGGCCAUCUGGGACAACACUGACGCUGAGGCACGAAAGCGUGGGGAGCAAACAGGAUUAGAUACCCCCGUAGUCCCUGUCUCUUAUAC
rnacentral:rRNA from 1 species